GACGAACGCUGGCGGCGUGCUUAACACAUGCAAGUCGAACGGAAAGGCCCUGCUUUUGUGGGGUGCUCGAGUGGCGAACGGGUGAGUAACACGUGAGUAACCUGCCCUUGACUUUGGGAUAACUUCAGGAAACUGGGGCUAAUACCGGAUAGGAGCUCCUGCUGCAUGGUGGGGGUUGGAAAGUUUCGGCGGUUGGGGAUGGACUCGCGGCUUAUCAGCUUGUUGGUGGGGUAGUGGCUUACCAAGGCUUUGACGGGUAGCCGGCCUGAGAGGGUGACCGGCCACAUUGGGACUGAGAUACGGCCCAGACUCCUACGGGAGGCAGCAGUGGGGAAUAUUGCACAAUGGGCGGAAGCCUGAUGCAGCAACGCCGCGUGCGGGAUGACGGCCUUCGGGUUGUAAACCGCUUUCGCCUGUGACGAAGCGUGAGUGACGGUAAUGGGUAAAGAAGCACCGGCUAACUACGUGCCAGCAGCCGCGGUGAUACGUAGGGUGCGAGCGUUGUCCGGAUUUAUUGGGCGUAAAGGGCUCGUAGGUGGUUGAUCGCGUCGGAAGUGUAAUCUUGGGGCUUAACCCUGAGCGUGCUUUCGAUACGGGUUGACUUGAGGAAGGUAGGGGAGAAUGGAAUUCCUGGUGGAGCGGUGGAAUGCGCAGAUAUCAGGAGGAACACCAGUGGCGAAGGCGGUUCUCUGGCCUUUCCUGACGCUGAGGAGCGAAAGCGUGGGGAGCGAACAGGCUUAGAUACCCUGGUAGUCCACGCUGUAAACGGUGGGUACUAGGUGUGGGGUCCAUUCCACGGGUUCCGUGCCGUAGCUAACGCUUUAAGUACCCCGCCUGGGGAGUACGGCCGCAAGGCUAAAACUCAAAGGAAUUGACGGGGCCCCGCACAAGCGGCGGAGCAUGCGGAUUAAUUCGAUGCAACGCGUAGAACCUUACCUGGGUUUGACAUGGAUCGGGAGUGCUCAGAGAUGGGUGUGCCUCUUUUGGGGUCGGUUCACAGGUGGUGCAUGGCUGUCGUCAGCUCGUGUCGUGAGAUGUUGGGUUAAGUCCCGCAACGAGCGCAACCCUUGUUCACUGUUGCCAGCACGUUAUGGUGGGGACUCAGUGGAGACCGCCGGGGCCAACUCGGAGGAAGGUGGGGAUGACGUCAAGUCAUCAUGCCCCUUAUGUCCAGGGCUUCACGCAUGCUACAAUGGCUGGUACAGAGAGUGGCGAGCCUGUGAGGGUGAGCGAAUCUCGGAAAGCCGGUCUCAGUUCGGAUUGGGGUCUGCAACUCGACCUCAUGAAGUCGGAGUCGCUAGUAAUCGCAGAUCGGCAACGCUGCGGUGAAUACGUUCCCGGGGCU
rnacentral:rRNA from 1 species